rnacentral:rRNA from 1 species
AACGAACGCUGGCGGCAGGCUUAACACAUGCAAGUCGAACGCCCCGCAAGGGGAGUGGCAGACGGGUGAGUAACGCGUGGGAACGUGCCCUUCGCUUCGGAAUAGCCCCGGGAAACUGGGAGUAAUACCGGAUACGCCGUAUUGGGAAAGAUUUAUCGGCGAAGGAUCGGCCCGCGUUGGAUUAGCUAGUUGGAGGUGUAAUGGACCCCCAAGGCUACGCUCCAUAGCUGGUCUGAGAGGAUGAUCAGCCACACUGGGACUGAGACACGGCCCAGACUCCUACGGGAGGCAGACGUGGGGAAUCUGGGACAAUGGGCGCAAGCCUGAUCCAGCCAUGACGCGUGAGUGAAGAAGGCCUUAGGGUUGUAAAACUCUUUCGCCGGAGAAGAUAAUGACGGUAUCCGGAGAAGAAGCCCCGGCUAACUUCGUGCCAGCCGCCGCCGUAACAC